AACGAGAAAAUGGAGCUUGCUUCAUAAGUAAAGUGGCAGACGGGUGAGUAACACGUGAACAACCUACCCUCGAGUGGGGAAUAACACCACGAAAGCGGUGCUAAUACCGCAUAAUAUCUUUUAAUCGCAUGGUUUUGAGAUCAAAAGCGCAAGUUGCUUGAGGAGGGGUUCGCGCCUGAUUAGCUUGUUGGUGAGGUAACGGCUCACCAAGGCAACGAUCAGUAGCCGGCCUGAGAGGGUGUACGGCCACACUGGAACUGAGACACGGUCCAGACUCCUACGGGAGGCAGCAGUGGGGAAUUUUGCGCAAUGGGCGAAAGCCUGACGCAGCAACGCCGCGUGGAGGAUGAAGGCCCUCGGGUCGUAAACUCCUGUCAGUGGGGACGAAUGCUUCGCAAGAAGUUUGACUGUACCCAUUGAGGAAGCCACGGCUAACUCCGUGCCAGCAGCCGCGGUAAUACGGGGGUGGCAAGCGUUGUUCGGAAUUACUGGGCGUAAAGGGCGCGUAGGCGGUUUGACAAGUCAGAUGUGAAAGCCCCGAGCUUAACUUGGGAAUUGCAUCUGAAACUGUCGAACUUGAGUCCUGGAGGGGGUAGUGGAAUUCCCAGUGUAGCGGUGAAAUGCGUAGAUAUUGGGAGGAACACCGGCGGCGAAGGCGGCUACCUGGACAGUGACUGACGCUGAGGCGCGAAAGCUAGGGGAGCGAACGGGAUUAGAUACCCCGGUAGUCCUAGCCGUAAACGAUGGGCACUUGGUGUUGGGGGUAUUGAGUCCCUCUGUGCCGGAGUUAACACGUUAAGUGCCCCGCCUGGGGGAGUACGGUCGCAAGACUGAAACUCAAAGGAAUUGACGGGGGCCCGCACAAGCGGUGGAGCAUGUGGUUCAAUUCGACGCAACGCG
rnacentral:rRNA from 1 species